rnacentral:rRNA from 1 species
UACCUGAGGAAUAAGCACCGGCUAACUCCGUGCCAGCAGCCGCGGUAAUACGGAGGGUGCAAGCGUUAUCCGGAUUCACUGGGUUUAAGGGUGUGUAGGCGGGCAUGUAAGUCCGAGGUGAAAUCCCCGAGCUCAACUUGGAAACUGCCUUGGAUACUAUAUGUCUUGAAUAUCGUUGAGGUAGGCGGAAUAUGUCAUGUAGCGGUGAAAUGCUUAGAUAUGACAUAGAACACCGAUUGCGAAGGCAGCUUGCUAAACGAUUAUUGACGCUGAGGCACGAAAGCGUGGGGAUCAAACAGGAUUAGAUACCCUGGUAGU